rnacentral:lncRNA from 1 species
UUGAUAGCUCCUCAUUUGAUGGAUGUCAUGAGUUGAGCUUUGAGAUAUGAAUAUGUUUGUUUGAUUAUGAUUAUGAACCUAUGGUAUGUCAGUCAGAAUACCCAUGCUAACAGGGUAGUGUUAGUCUUUGUGCACAUCGUAUCUGAACCCUAGUUGGUCGGGGGAGUCACCAACCUGUGUGGACUGAUCAUCCCACAGUACGGAGCCUCAUGCUCAUUGCAUUUUGAUUUUCUGACGAGUUUUACCAUAUGAUAUUCUUGUUAU